GACGAACGCUGGCGGCGUGCUUAACACAUGCAAGUCGAACGAUGAAGCCCAGCUUGCUGGGUGGAUUAGUGGCGAACGGGUGAGUAACACGUGAGUAACCUGCCCUGGACUCUGGGAUAACCCCGAGAAAUCGGAGCUAAUACCGGAUAGGACCUUUCCCCGCAUGGGGUUUGGUGGAAAGUUUUUCGGUUUGGGAUGGACUCGCGGCCUAUCAGCUUGUUGGUGAGGUAAUGGCUCACCAAGGCGUCGACGGGUAGCCGGCCUGAGAGGGUGACCGGCCACACUGGGACUGAGACACGGCCCAGACUCCUACGGGAGGCAGCAGUGGGGAAUAUUGCACAAUGGGCGCAAGCCUGAUGCAGCAACGCCGCGUGCGGGAUGACGGCCUUCGGGUUGUAAACCGCUUUUAGUAAGGAAGAAGGGGCUUCGGCCUUGACGGUACUUGCAGAAAAAGGACCGGCUAACUACGUGCCAGCCGCCGCGGUAACAC
rnacentral:rRNA from 1 species